UAUAAGAAGUGUUUUAUAUCUGCUCAGGACGAACGCUGGCGGCGUGCUAAUACAUGCAAGUCGAACGAACUCUGGUAUUGAUUGGUGCUUGCAUCAUGAUUUACAUUUGAGUGAGUGGCGAACUGGUGAGUAACACGUGGGAAACCUGCCCAGAAGCGGGGGAUAACACCUGGAAACAGAUGCUAAUACCGCAUAACAACUUGGACCGCAUGGUCCGAGUUUGAAAGAUGGCUUCGGCUAUCACUUUUGGAUGGUCCCGCGGCGUAUUAGCUAGAUGGUGAGGUAACGGCUCACCAUGGCAAUGAUACGUAGCCGACCUGAGAGGGUAAUCGGCCACAUUGGGACUGAGACACGGCCCAAACUCCUACGGGAGGCAGCAGUAGGGAAUCUUCCACAAUGGACGAAAGUCUGAUGGAGCAACGCCGCGUGAGUGAAGAAGGGUUUCGGCUCGUAAAACUCUGUUGUUAAAGAAGAACAUAUCUGAGAGUAACUGUUCAGGUAUUGACGGUAUUUAACCAGAAAGCCACGGCUAACUACGUGCCAGCAGCCGCGGUAAUACGUAGGUGGCAAGCGUUGUCCGGAUUUAUUGGGCGUAAAGCGAGCGCAGGCGGUUUUUUAAGUCUGAUGUGAAAGCCUUCGGCUCAACCGAAGAAGUGCAUCGGAAACUGGGAAACUUGAGUGCAGAAGAGGACAGUGGAACUCCAUGUGUAGCGGUGAAAUGCGUAGAUAUAUGGAAGAACACCAGUGGCGAAGGCGGCUGUCUGGUCUGUAACUGACGCUGAGGCUCGAAAGUAUGGGUAGCAAACAGGAUUAGAUACCCUGGUAGUCCAUACCGUAAACGAUGAAUGCUAAGUGUUGGAGGGUUUCCGCCCUUCAGUGCUGCAGCUAACGCAUUAAGCAUCCGCCUGGGAAUUCGA
rnacentral:rRNA from 1 species